CACGUAGGGCGCGAGCGUUGUCCGGAAUUAUUGGGCGUAAAGAGCUCGUAGGCGGCCUGUUGCGUCCGCUGUGAAAGCCCGGGGCUUAACCCCGGGUCUGCAGUGGAUACGGGCAGGCUAGAGGUAGGUAGGGGAGAAUGGAAUUCCCGGUGUAGCGGUGAAAUGCGCAGAUAUCGGAGGAGACACCGGUGGCGAAGGCGGGUCUCUGGGCAAUAACUGACGCUGAGGAGCGAAAGCGUGGGGAGCGAACAGG
rnacentral:rRNA from 1 species